AUGCUCAAAAUUCUCCAAGCCAGGCUUCAGCAAUACGUGAACCGUGAACUCCCUGGUUUUAGAAAAGGCAGAGGAACCAGAGAUCAAAUUGCCAACAUCCACUGGAUCAUCAAAAAAGCAAGAGAGUUCCAGGAAAACAUCUAUUUCUGCUUUAUUGACUAUGCCAAAGCCUUUGACUGUGUGGAUCACAAUCAACUGUGGAAAAUUCUGAAAGAGAUGGGAAUACCAGACCACCUGACCUGCCUCUUGAGAAAUCUGUAUGCAGGUCAGGAAGCAACAGUUAGAACUGGACAUGGAACAACAGACUGGUUCCAAAUAGGAAAAGGAGCAUGUCAAGGCUGUAUAUUGUCACCCUGCUUAUUUAACUUCUAUGCAGAGAUCAUCAUGAGAAACACUGGACUGGAAGAAACACAAGCUGGAAUCAAGAUUUCUGGGAGAAAUAUCAAUAACCUCAGAUAUGCAGAUGACACCGCCCUUAUGGCAAAAAGUGAAGAGGAACUAAAAAGCCUCUUGAUGAAAGUGAAAGAGGAGAGUGAAAAAGUAGGCUUAAAGCUCAACAUUCAGAAAAUGAAGAUCAUGGCAUCCGGUCCCAUCACUUCAUGGGAAAUAGAUGGGGAAACAGUGGAAACAGUGUCAGACUUUAUUUUUCUGGGCUCCAAAAUCACUGCAGAUGGUGACUGCAGCCAUGAAAUGAAAAGACGUUUAUUCCUUGGAAGGAGAGUUAUGACCAACCUAGACAGCAUAUUCAAAAGCAGAGACAUUACUUUGCCGACUAAGGUCCAUCUAGUCAAGGCUAUGGUUUUUCCUGUGGUCAUGUAUGGAUGUGAGAGUUGGACUGUGAAGAAGGCUGAGCGCCGAAGAAUUGAUGCUUUUGAGCUGUGGUGUUGGAGAAGACACUUGAGAGUCCCUUGGACUGCAAGGAGAUCCAACCAGUCCAUUCUGAAGGAGAUCAGCCCUGGGAGUUCUUUGGAAGGAAUGAUGCUAAAGCUGAAAGUCCAGUACUUUGGCCACCUGAUGCAAAGAGUUGACUCAUUGGAAAAGACUCUGAUGCUGGGAGGGAUUGGGGGCAGGAGGAGAAGGGGACGACAGAGGAUGAGAUGGCUGGAUGGCAUCACGGACUCAAUGGACCUGAGUCUGAGUGAACUCCGGGAGAUGGUGAUGAACAGGGAGGCCUGGCGUGCUGCGAUUCAUGGUGUUGCAAAGAGUCAGACACGACUGAGCGACUGA
rnacentral:lncRNA from 1 species